rnacentral:rRNA from 1 species
AGUGAACGCUGGCGGUAGGCCUAACACAUGCAAGUCGAACGGCAGCACAGUAAGAGCUUGCUCUUACGGGUGGCGAGUGGCGGACGGGUGAGGAAUACAUCGGAAUCUACUUUUUCGUGGGGGAUAGCGUAGGGAAACUUACGCUAAUACCGCAUACGACCUACGGGUGAAAGCAGGGGAUCUUCGGACCUCGCGCGAUUGAAUGAGCCGAUGUCGGAUUAGCUAGUUGGCGGGGUAAAGGCCCACCAAGGCGACGAUCCGUAGCUGGUCUGAGAGGAUGAUCAGCCACACUGGAACUGAGACACGGUCCAGACUCCUACGGGAGGCAGCAGUGGGGAAUAUUGGACAAUGGGCGCAAGCCUGAUCCAGCCAUACCGCGUGGGUGAAGAAGGCCUUCGGGUUGUAAAGCCCUUUUGUUGGGAAAGAAAAGCAGCAGGUUAAUACCCCGCUGUUCUGACGGUACCCAAAGAAUAAGCACCGGCUAACUUCGUG